GAACGCUGGCGGCGUGCCUAAUACCUGCAAGUCGAGCGAACAGACGAGGAGCUUGCUCCUCUGACGUUAGCGGCGGACGGGUGAGUAACACGUGGAUAACCUACCUAUAAGACUGGGAUAACUUCGGGAAACCGGAGCUAAUACCGGAUAAUAUAUUGAACCGCAUGGUUCAAUAGUGAAAGACGGUUUUGCUGUCACUUAUAGAUGGAUCCGCGCCGCAUUAGCUAGUUGGUAAGGUAACGGCUUACCAAGGCAACGAUGCGUAGCCGACCUGAGAGGGUGAUCGGCCACACUGGAACUGAGACACGGUCCAGACUCCUACGGGAGGCAGCAGUAGGGAAUCUUCCGCAAUGGGCGAAAGCCUGACGGAGCAACGCCGCGUGAGUGAUGAAGGUCUUCGGAUCGUAAAACUCUGUUAUUAGGGAAGAACAAAUGUGUAAGUAACUAUGCACGUCUUGACGGUACCUAAUCAGAAAGCCACGGCUAACUACGUG
rnacentral:rRNA from 1 species